rnacentral:rRNA from 1 species
AUUGAACGCUGGCGGCAUGCCUUACACAUGCAAGUCGAACGGCAGCACGGGGGGUAACCCCUGGUGGCGAGUGGCGCACGGGUGAGUAAUAUAUCGGAACGUGUCCUGUAGCGGGGGAUAACCUAUCGAAAGAUGGACUAAUACCGCAUACGACCUACGGGUGAAAGCGGAGGACCGCAAGGCUUCGCACUAUAGUGACGGCCGAUAUCGGAUUAGCUAGUUGGCGGGGUAACGGCCCACCAAGGCGACGAUCCGUAGCUGGUCUGAGAGGACGAUCAGCCACACUGGAACUGAGACACGGUCCAGACUCCUACGGGAGGCAGCAGUGGGGAAUUUUGGACAAUGGGCGAAAGCCUGAUCCAGCCAUGCCGCGUGAGUGAAGAAGGCCUUCGGGUUGUAAAGCUCUUUCGGCGGGGACGAAACGGUUCGUGCUAAUACCACGGACUACUGACGGUACCCGCAGAAGAAGCACCGGCUAACUACGUG